rnacentral:rRNA from 1 species
AAUCUUGCGCAAUGGGCGAAAGCCUGACGCAGCCAUGCCGCGUGAAUGAUGAAGGUCUUAGGAUUGUAAAAUUCUUUCACCGGGGACGAUAAUGACGGUACCCGGAGAAGAAGCCCCGGCUAACUUCGUGCCAGCAGCCGCGGUAAUACGAAGGGGGCUAGCGUUGCUUGGAAUUACUGGGCGUAAAGGGGGCUUAGGCGGACAUUUAAGUCAGGGGUGAAAUCCCAGAGGUCAAAUCUUGAACUUCCUUUGAUUCUGGGUGGUUUGGGUGUGAGAGGGGUAAGUUGGAAUCCGGGUGUAGAGGUUAAAUUCGUUGAUAAUCGGAAGAAAACCAGUGGCGAAGGCGACAUACUGGCUCAUUACUGACGCUGAGGCGCGAAAGCGUGGGGAGCAAACA